rfam:Red clover necrotic mosaic virus RNA-1, complete sequence.
UAAGUGUAGCCUCCACCCGAGUUGCAAGAGGGGAACACGCAGUCUCGCCGACC